rnacentral:rRNA from 1 species
UACGUAGGGUGCGAGCGUUGUCCGGAUUUAUUGGGCGUAAAGAGCUCGUAGGCGGUUUGUCGCGUCGGCCGUGAAAUCUCCACGCUUAACGUGGAGCGUGCGGUCGAUACGGGCAGACUUGAGUUCGGUAGGGGAGACUGGAAUUCCUGGUGUAGCGGUGAAAUGCGCAGAUAUCAGGAGGAACACCGGUGGCGAAGGCGGGUCUCUGGGCAAUUCCUGACGCUGAGGCGCGAAAGCUAGGGGAGCAAACAGG